rnacentral:misc_RNA from 1 species
GAUGAAGAACGUAGCGAAAUGCGAUACGUAAUGUGAAUUGCAGAAUUCAGUGAAUCAUCGAAUCUUUGAACGCACAUUGCGCCCCCUGGCAUUCCGGGGGGCAUGCCUGUCCGAGCGUCAUUUCUGCCCUCCAGCCCGGCUGGGUGUUGGGCGCUGUCCCCCCGGGGACACGCCCCAAAGGCAGUGGCGGCGCCGCGUCGGGUCCUCGAGCGUAUGGGGCUUUGUCACCCGCUCGGGACGGACUCGUCGGCGCUGGUCUUCCUCCAGGCGACCCUUCGGGGCUCGUCUUCCUUCGGUUGACCUCGGAUCAGGUAGGGUUACCCGCUGAACUUAAGCAUAUCAAUAAGCGGAGGA